AAGCCUCAUACAUGCAAGUCGAACGAGAAAGCAUCUUCGGAUGUGAGUAAAGUGGCGGACGGGUGAGUAAUACAUAGGAAUCUACCCAAUGGCGGGGGACAGCUCGAGGAAACUCGAAUUAAUACCGCAUAAUCUCUANNNAGUAAAGAGGGCUUCGGCUCUCACCAUCGGAUGAGCCUAUGCAAGAUUAGCUUGUUGGUAAGGUAAUGGCUUACCAAGGCUACGAUCUUUAGCUGGUUUGAGAGGAUGACCAGCCACAUCGGGACUGAGACACGGCCCGGACUUCUACGGAAGGCAGCAGUAGGGAAUAUUGGACAAUGAGCGAAAGCUUGAUCCAGCUAUGCCGCGUGUGCGAUGACGGCCCUCGGGUUGUAAAGCACUUUAGGUAACGAGGAAAAGUUAAGUGUUAAUACCACUUAACCAUGACGUUAAUUACAGAAUAAGCACCGGCUAAAUCCGUGCCAGCAGCCGCGGUAAUACGGAUGGUGCAAGCGUUAAUCGGAAUUACUGGGCGUAAAGCGCGCGUAGNUGGCAUACUAAGUUAGAUGUGAAAUCCCGGG
rnacentral:rRNA from 1 species